rnacentral:rRNA from 1 species
UCCGGUUGAUCCUGCCAGAGGCCGCUGCUAUCUGGCUGGGACUAAGCCAUGCUAGUCUAGGGGCUUGUACUCCUUCGGGGGUGCAAGCACCGGCGGACGGCUCAGUAACACGUGGACAACCUGCCCUCGGGUGGGGGAUAACCCCGGGAAACUGGGGCUAAUCCCCCAUAGGUGAUGGGUGCUGGAAUGCCCCAUCUCCGAAAGCGCUUAGCGCCCGAGGAUGGGUCUGCGGCGGAUUAGGUAGUUGGUGGGGUAACGGCCCACCAAGCCUAAGAUCCGUACGGGCUGUGGGAGCAGGAGCCCGGAGAUGGACCCUGAGACAAGGGUCCAGGCCCUACGGGGCGCAGCAGGCGCGAAACCUCCGCAAUGCGGGAAACCGCGACGGGGUUAGCCGGAGUGCCCGUGCAUUGCACGGGCUGUCGGGGUGCCUAAACAGCACCCCAUAGCAAGGGCCGGGCAAGGCCGGUGGCAGCCGCCGCGGUAAGACCGGCGGCCCGAGUGGCGGCCACUCUUAUUGGGCCUAAAGCGUCCGUAGCCGGCCCAGUAAGUCCCCCGGGAAAUCUGGUCGCUUAACGAUCAGACUUCCGGGGGAUACUGCUGGGCUAGGGACCGGGAGAGGCCGAGGGUAUUCCCGGGGUAGGGGUGAAAUCCUGUAAUCCCCGGAGGACCACCUGUG